ensembl:lncRNA
CAUGAAAGUGCCUUAUGAGUUGUAUACGUUACCCUGAAAUUGAAAAAUCUGGCAACUUCUGUAACUACAGGUAAAAAUAUUUUGAUUCACAGUGGUGUCACCAUGCAAGGAGAUGGUCACUUGGAUCGAGGCAUCAGGCUGCUAUGCGCGAUGGAGAGGGGCACACAGCAGCGUAAGGGUUGAUUUUCCGUUUUACGUGCUCCUGGAAGACACCGGAGGAGUAAAGCUACAUCUCCUAGCCGACACACCAGAAAGUCAGACCCAUUUUACUCCUGCCACCAAGCGGUUAGAGGCGAGCAUGACACCAAACCAGACUGGACGGGGCAGGCCCCAGAGGGAUGAAGACACUGAGCCAGGCUUGACGUUCCUGUGCGUGAAGCACAGCCACUUAACCUCGUUUCCAGAGCGCAGCAUGCCUGCUGUGCUGCACGUGUUUCCAAACCCAAGUCGCGCUUUUUAUGGGUGUGGUUCGAGGUUGUCUCAACCACUUGCAGACUGGGCUGGUUGUAGGAAUUACUGUGGGUGUUUUAAAACGUAGAAAUGCCAAGGCCCCAUCUCAGCCUAAUGAAUUAGAAUUUCCAGGAUUGCAACCCAGGCCUCUGUAUUUUAAACAUUUCAACAGGUUGAGAGCCACCGUGCUGAGCUGUAAGUUGAGCACUGCAGUGCCUGCUCCAGGCACAUGGCUGGUACACGGAAAGUACACAGGUACGGAUUGAAUGAAUGAAUGGAUUCAGUGAAAGAACAAAUGACUGAAUACUGUAAAGAUUUUUAUAAAACAGGUUUUUUUUUUACAUUGAGGUGAAAUUCACAUAACACAAAAUAUGCCAUUUUUUUUUAAAAGAUUUUAUUUUAUUUAUUUGACAGAGAGAGAGACAGCCAGCGAGAGAGGUAACACAAGCAGGGGAAGUGGGAGAGGAAGAAACAGGCUCCCAGUGGAGCAGGGAGCCUGAUGCGGGGCUCGAUCCCAGGACCCUGGGAUCAUGAACUGAGCCGAAGGCAGACGCUUAACGACUGCGUCACCCAGGCACCCCUCCAAAAUAUGCCAUUUUAAACUGAACAAUUUAAUGGCAUUUAGUACAUUCAAAAUGUUGUACAACCACGACCCCUAAUUCCAAAAUAUUUGUCAUCCCAGAAGGAGACCCCAUACCCAUUAAGCAGUUACUCCUCAUUCCUACUCCCUGAAGCCCCUGGCAGCCACUAAUCUACUUUCUGUCUCUAUGGGUUUGCCUGUUCUGGACAUUUACGUUAAAUGGAAUCACACAAGAUGUGCCCCUUUGUGUUUGAUUUCUCUCACCGAGUAUAAUGAUUUCAAGGUCCAUCCGCAUUGCGGCAUGGAUCAAGACUCCGCUCCUUUUCGAGGCUGAAUAAUAUUCCGCCGUGUGUAGAGAGGAUAUUUGUUACUCAGCUGUGGAUGGACACAUGGAACUGUUUUCACUCAGAGUUAGCUGGGACCGGACUCGCCACACAAAAUCGUUCUGUGGCUCGCUGCACGUGAAUCUGAUGAACACCUGUCUGGCUCACGCUAGGGUCUGUGGUCUAGCCUACUACACAUGGCUGUUUUGUGGCAUGAAGGGG